GACGAACGCUGGCGGCGUGCCUAAUACAUGCAAGUAGAACGCACAGUUUAUACCGUAGCUUGCUACACCAUAGACUGUGAGUUGCGAACGGGUGAGUAACGCGUAGGUAACCUGCCUGGUAGCGGGGGAUAACUAUUGGAAACGAUAGCUAAUACCGCAUAAUAUUGAUUAUUGCAUGAUAAUUGAUUGAAAGAUGCUAUUGCAUCACUACCAGAUGGACCUGCGUUGUAUUAGCUAGUAGGUGAGGUAACGGCUCACCAAGGCGACGAUACAUAGCCGACCUGAGAGGGUGAUCGGCCACACUGGGACUGAGACACGGCCCAGACUCCUACGGGAGGCAGCAGUAGGGAAUCUUCGGCAAUGGACGAAAGUCUGACCGAGCAACGCCGCGUGAGUGAAGAAGGUUUUCGGAUCGUAAAGCUCUGUUGUAAGAGAAGAACGGGUGUGAGAGUGGAAAGUUCACACUGUGACGGUAUCUUACCAGAAAGGGACGGCUAACUACGUG
rnacentral:rRNA from 1 species